rnacentral:rRNA from 1 species
UCUACGGGAGGCAGCAGUGGGGAAUAUUGGGCAAUGGGCGCAAGCCUGACCCAGCAACGCCGCGUGAAGGAAGAAGGCUUUCGGGUUGUAAACUUCUUUUCUGAGGGACGAAGAAAGUGACGGUACCUCCGGAAUAAGCCACGACUAACUACGUGCCAGCAGCCGCGGUAAUACGUAGGUGGCAAGCGUUAUCCGGAUUUGUUGGGUGUAAAGGGCGUGUAGGCGGGAAAGCAAGUCAGAUGUGAAAACUAAGGGCUCAACCCUGAGCCUGCAUUUUAAACUGUUUUCCUUGAGUGCUGGGGAGGCAAUCGGAAUUCCGGGUGUAGCGGUGAAAUGCGUAGAUAUACGGAGGAACACCAGUGGCGAAGGCGGAUUGCUGGACAGUAACUGACGCUGAGGCGCGAAAGCGUGGGGAGCAAACAGGAUUAGAUACCCUUGUAGUC